rnacentral:lncRNA from 1 species
AGUCCAGCCUCUCCAAAUUUGUCAUAUAUGGAUUGUUUCUCAUCAUCUGAUAACACCUGUUGUGAGAGUGAGAGGAGAAGGCAUUGACGAAGGGGAGAAAGAGAGAGAAAGGAGAAACCUUUUUGGCUCGCAAGAUUUUUCCUGGCAAAAUGCAUUGCGCAUAAUCAUCAAAUCCCAGCAACUCGCUAGCCUUGCAAUUCGUCAUUCCCAAAUCAC